UGGUCCCAGCUAGUUUGUUCGCUUUGGCAAAUUGUAGGCGUCGACCUAGUGAAUCAAUAUUACGCAGUACACAAGCUGGCUUAUGUACAUGACUCGGAUGCAGGUGUAUAAAUAGAAGCAAGCCGCUAGAGAGGGUUUGCAUGCAGUAUCAACUCUCGAAAAUGAAGGCCAUUUUAUUCAUCAUCUGUCUUCUCUUAGCUUCCUCAGUACUUUUUGUUCCUUCUUCAGUUUUAGCUCGAGAAUUGAAAGUCGAGCAAGCUGAUGCUUCGUACCCUAAAAGGCCAGUAGGACCAAGAUGUGGUAGUCAUCAGCGUAAUUGCACAAGAUUAAUACCCCCGCCACCCCCGCCACCUGCUAGAUAUUGUCGCUCCUAUACGCGUUGCCGCCGGCCUCCUUGACAUCAGAAGCGCCAUGAAGUGGUACUACUGGUUCGGCAUAAAAAGCACAAGAUCUUUUAUACAUAUAUAUAUAUAUAUAUAUAUAUAUAUAUAUAUAUGUGUGUGUAUGGUUUUCUAGGGGUCUGUGAUGGCUUUACUUCGCAGUAGUACUGUUGUAAUAUGCAUUGAUCAGAAACUAGUGGACGCUACUCUCUCGUCCUUGUAAUAUUAAUAAUAAAUGAACUCCAAGCAGGAGUCCUGUACGUAUGUACAGUUUGAUGUAAUGUAUUAUAUAUGUGGGCAACUUGAAUGGGUAAUAUAAUAUAAUCUUGGUAUAAUCCUCCCAA